rnacentral:rRNA from 1 species
GACGAACGCUGGCGGCGUGCUUAACACAUGCAAGUCGAGCGGUAAGGCCCUUUCGGGGGUACACGAGCGGCGAACGGGUGAGUAACACGUGGGUGACCUGCCCUCAGCUCUGGGAUAAGCCUGGGAAACCGGGUCUAAUACCGGAUAUGACUCCAUGACGCAUGUUGUGGGGUGGAAAGCCUUGUGCGGCUGAGGAUGGGCCCGCGGCCUAUCAGCUUGUUGGUGGGGUGAUGGCCUACCAAGGCGACGACGGGUAGCCGGCCUGAGAGGGCGACCGGCCACACUGGGACUGAGACACGGCCCAGACUCCUACGGGAGGCAGCAGUGGGGAAUCUUGCGCAAUGGGCGAAAGCCUGACGCAGCGACGCCGCGUGAGGGAUGACGGCCUGGUU